AUCCUCCUGUAGCCCACAAGCGUGAGGAUCAGGUCUUCAUGCCUUUGUAUGAGAUGUGCCUCCCACUAAACCUUGCUUCGACUGCAGCACAUCACCCAUCUGACG